rnacentral:rRNA from 1 species
CAAAGCACAACAAAUCAAAAAUCCAACCUACUAUACAAACUCCUACGCAAUAUUGAGCCAAACUAUAAUAAUAGUAGAACCAAUACUAAAACUAGUAACAAGAAUAAUUCUCUACGGCACAACCUUGGCCCAGUAAUAGAAAAACUACUGAUAAUUAACAGACCAAAAAAGGUAUAACAAACUAUGUUAAACACACUGUCAAACCAACACCGGAGUGCCUACAGAAAGAUAAAAAGCUGCAGAAGGAACUCAGCAAAACUUAUCCCAACUGUUUACCAAAAACACAGCCUUUAGCAAAAUUAGUAUUAAAGGUCCUGCCUGCCCAGUGAAAUUUAUUUUUAACGGCCGCGGUAUUCUAACCGUGCAAAGGUAGCGUAAUCACUUGUCUUCUAAAUAAAGACCAGUAUGAAUGGCUAAAUGAGGAUAAACCUGUCUCCUGCACCCAAUCAGUGAAACUGAUCUCUCAGUCCAAAAGCUGGGAUAACAACACAAGACGAGAAGACCCUGUGGAGCUUAAAACACACUACUAUAAAACUAAAUAAGUAAUUAGUACCCAUUUUAAGUUGGGGCGACUUCGGAAUAAAAUAAAACUUCCGAGCACAGAACCACCACUUCUUACCAAGGCUAACAAGCCGACAUAAAUGACCCAGUCAUACUGAUCAACGAACCAAGUUACCCCAGGGAUAACAGCGCUAUCUUCUUCAAGAGUCCAUAUCGACAAGAAGGUUUACGACCUCGAUGUUGGAUCAGGACACCCAAAUGGUGCAGCCGCUAUUAAAGGUUCGUUUGUUCAACGAUUAAUAGU